CGAACGCCCAAUGACUCCCCCGCUGUCUUACCCCACCUUAUUUACCACACGCGUGUCCCUUCCUUUUCUUAAUUCUCUCUCCUUAAUUCUGCCUAAUUAACCGCCUCCCUUGAUCUCUUUCCAUAUCUGCUUGACUGUGUCCAUCUCUCUCUCUCUCCCGAUCCAUCUCUCUUUCUCUCCCGAUCUCUCUCCCGAUCCUUGCCUGCCACCGUCUCUCCUCCGCCGGUUCUCGCCACCGCGCCACGGAGGGCGGCUCCUCCGCCGCCGGUUCCCACCAUGACGCCAUGAGGGCGCUCCUCCUUCGCCGCUUCACGCUGCCGGCGCCAUGAAGGGCCGCUCCUCCUCCGUCGGUUCCCGCGGCCAGCGCCAAGGAGGUUGGCUCCUUCCCUGACACCGCCGCAGCCGCCGCCAUGGCCCAGGCGCGCGCGGAUCUGGUCCCACAGUUCUUCUCGGUCUGCACCUAAAGAUCAUGGGCACAUAGAAUAUCCUCAGGAUGUUUUAUUUAGAUUUGAUUGCUGAUUGUUUUGAUCGAGGAUUGAUGAGGUACUUAGCUAUUUGUGAUGUACCUUAAUGUGUAUUUGUCAUGUACAUUGAUACGUCUGUGAUUUGUCAUGUAUCUUGAUGUAUAUGUGAUGUGCUUGAUGUAUUUGUCAUGUACCUUGAUGUAUAUGUUAUGUAUAUGUGAUGUGCCAUGUACUUGCCAUGUACCCAUGGGCAGGCCCGGCUCAAGUCAAGGGUAUUCAGUUAGGGUAUUCAACUGAAUACCCAUCAAAUUUUGCAAAAGAUCGAAUAUAUACAUCAUGUAUUCUACA